rnacentral:tRNA from 1 species
GCCGCUGUCGUUCAAUGGAUAGGACAAGGGUUUCCUAAACCUUAAAUGUAGGUUCGAUUCCUACCAGUGGCA